rnacentral:rRNA from 1 species
UACGAAGGGGGCUAGCGUUGUUCGGAAUUACUGGGCGUAAAGCGUGCGCAGGCGGUUUCUCAAGUCAGGGGUGAAAGCCCGGAGCUCAACUCCGGAAUUGCCUUUGAAACUGUGAAGCUAGAGUGCGGGAGAGGUGAGUGGAAUUCCCAGUGUAGAGGUGAAAUUCGUAGAUAUUGGGAAGAACACCGGUGGCGAAGGCGGCUCACUGGCCCGGUACUGACGCUGAGGUGCGAAAGCGUGGGGAGCGAACAGG